rnacentral:rRNA from 1 species
UCGAGAAUUUUUCUCAAUGGGCGAAAGCCUGAAGGAGCGACGCCGCGUGGGGGAUGAAGGGUUUCGAUCCGUAAACCCCUGUCAUUUGCGAACAAUGGUUAUCAUUUAAAAGAUGAUGACUUGAUAGUAGCGGAAGAGGAAGGGACGGCUAACUCUGUGCCAGCAGCCGCGGUAAUACAGAGGUCCCGAGCGUUGUUCGGAUUCACUGGGCGUAAAGGGUGCGUAGGUGGUGGGGCAAGUUUGAUGUGAAAUCUCCGGGCUUAACCCGGAAACUGCAUUGAAUACUGCCCGGCUGGAGGUUUGGAGGGGGGACUGGAAUUCUCGGUGUAGCAGUGAAAUGCGUAGAUAUCGAGAGGAACACCAGUGGCGAAGGCGAGUCCCUGGACAACACCUGACACUGAGGCACGAAAGCUAGGGGAGCAAACAGGAUUAGAUACCCCCGUAGUCC